AGUAAAUAUUAGUGAUUUUCUCAAAUAAACUAUAUUGUAUCUCCAUCUCCGUCGCUCAAUGAAAAGGCCAAGUAAUAUUGCUAAGGGUCUGUUUACACAUUAUUUGUUACUGAACACAAAUGUAUGAAAUCGCGCUUAACACUAAUCGAUGUAAAACAGACCAUAAGGCUAGUCUUGGCAACACUAUACCUACAUGAAAUGUUUUUGGUGGUACAGUCGACUCUCGUUAAUUCGAAACACAAGGGACUUUUAAAAUAUUACGAAUUAUCGAGAGUUUGAAAUAUCAAAUAGUUCGAAAUUUUUGAGAGAAAAAUAUGAAAGUUCGAAUUAUUGAGUAAUAAUCAAUUAUGAUUUAUUAACUGCUAAUUUUAUAACAAUAUCCAAAGGUUAGAGGUACAUAUUUACAUGUACAUACAUACAUACAUAAUGUGAAUUAAUUAUUAGUCUUCGGGAAGAAGUCUAUAAUAUUAGUUUGCUUCAAACAGCUUCAAAGCACAUUGCUGAGACUGAUCAAUAACUUUUUUUUAUCAGAAAUACCUAGUGCCGGAAAUUAUUUUACAAUAACAAAUGCUCGUGCAACGAUGAACUUGAACUUGUCUCAAAAUGUAGGGUACUUACUUACACUUACCUCUGCAAUCUGAUAACUUUGAAUUGUCGAGUGUUUGACGCCUAUGAGUUCGAAUUAACGCGUCGUUUUGUUACGUAGCGAUGAUUUUUUUGUUCGAAUUACCAAAUUUUAUAGGGAACUCGUGAUAACUUCGAAUUAUAGAGAGGUUCGAAUUAUCGCAGGUUUGAAUUAACGAGAGUCGACUGUAUAUACUUUCAUUGAAACUAAGAAAUGACGAAACUAAUUAGGUACAACUCACAAUCUAUAAGGCAGACGAUGUUACCACAGUGUUACAAUAUCUGAGACAUUUUGAAAAUUGUGAUUUUAAAAAAGAUGUAUAAUGUAACGUAGGAAUGUAGUUACUAUUUAGUAAUAUUAUUGUCUCCGGCAAUGUAGGAGUCAAUCACAUCUAUCACUACGAGGCCCGAUUUAUCAGACCCUGCCUCUUCCUUUCCUCAUGACAUUAUAUCUACUCUUUAAUUUGUAUUAUUGCGUCCUUAGUUCGGUGCGGGUAAGGGUCCAUUAACAUUUUGUAAUACUUUACCGUUGUAAGCUUCACCAGGCGUGGCUCACUCCGCGAUUUCGUCGCUUUGCUACAGGUAGCUAAAAGUACAUCCGUUCCACACCAAUUUUGGUGCCUAGCCAUAAGCCGCGCGUGGCGCUGUCGCCACCUAGCGGCCAUAUCUGUCCUGAUCGUAACGGACGCCCUUUGUUAGAGAAGGAGUCUUCUGUACCUAGUACCAUUAUUUAUUCUGUGGCUUCACUUUAAGAUUGAAGGUAUUAAAAUUGAAAUGGUAGUUGUCUUUAGCUUCUACUCUGCCGUAGACAAUAAUUAUUAAAAUUGCUUGUAAAUUGUCCAUCCAAUAUUAGCAUAGAUAUCGCUGUUAAGGUUUUUAAAAUGUAUAUUUUUCAUAGAUGUUUUGUAUACAGUUGACUAAAUCGAAAAGCUCUAAUUUUACUAACCGACGUUGACCGUUUUAAAUGAAUUACUAAUACCAUCUAUAUAUUAUAUAUUUUGUUUUGCUAAAAUUGUAAAUUGUGUAGAUAUACGUAUGACAAAAAGUGUAGAUUUGUAGUAUACCAAUUAUAAAAAAAAAUGAAAUUGCGUGCUAUUAAAAAACAACAGAGUCAAGGGGGGAAUUUUAAAAAUGGCAUUUUUAUUAGCAAAACUUUAUUCGAUCGAGUAAGAAAUUGUAGAUAUUAUAUUGUAGUAUUUAAUGAGGGUUUUCUUACAUUCUAACAUUUUUGGAAAUAAUAUCUUAGAGUACUCUGAGUACUGAAUGUCAGAAGGUCCUUAAUGCGAUAGGUAUUCUUCCAUUAUUUCAUGUGAUAGGAGCUUUAUUUGUGUACUUAUAGCGUUUUUAUUGACUAAGGCCUAAAAAUAUAGAUUGAUUAAUAAAUGCUCAAUUAACAA